AGCCUGGGAGCCAAGAAUAAGGCAGAGCAAGUUCCUGAAAGGAAAAGCCGGCUUUGUCACCAAAAAACGGGGAAAAUAUAUGCUGAACAAAGGAAUACUGGUGACCACCAUCCUGCCCUACUCUGCUAGAAUAUUUUACACACCACUGUGCUCAAAUACUCUAGUUAUCAGAGGUCUGUCAUUGUUGCUCACCCUCUGCCCCCACAGGUACAGAUGCCAUGUCACCAUGGGGCUGCGAUGUAGCUCAAUCGUAGAGCACUUACCUAGUCCUUUUGAGGCCCUAGGCUCAAUCCUCAGCACCCACUAUCAAAAAGAGCCAGGCACGCUGACAAGGAGCAAGUUGGUGAAAGAUUGGAAAACACACAUGAAAGGACACAGAGCAUAGGCAAGAAAGAGUCCAAGCCACUCAGGAGGCUGAGCCAGGAGGAUCACCUAAGCCCAAGAGUUCAAGAGAAGCCUGAGCAAUGUUGCAAGACCUCAGCUUAAAAAACAAAAGUCUAAACUAUCAGUGUCCAUCCAUGUCUCCCCUUUGCUUCCAGGAGAAAAUCUGGAUUUUCCUUCAAAGCACUGGCCCAACAGGGCCCACUGUGUCUUCUGCCCACUGUGACUAGACUGAAAGCUCCGUGCAAUCAGGACUGCAUUUAACCACUGUAACCCUGGCUCCU
rnacentral:lncRNA from 1 species